GUCUAUGGCCAUGCCACCCUGAACGUGCCCGAUCUCGUCUGAUCUCGGAAGUUAAGCAGGGUCGGACCUGGUUCGUACUUCGAUAGGAGACCAUCUAGGAAUACCAGGUGCUGUAGGGU
rnacentral:rRNA from 1 species